AAUAGAUACCCCGGUAGUCCACGCCGUAAACGUUGGAUACUAGGUGUGGCGUCCCGAUCAACGGAUGCCGUGCCGAAGCUAACGCAUUAAGUAUCCCGCCUGGGGAGUACGGCCGCAAGGCUAAAACUCAAAGGAAUUGACGGGUCCCCGCACAAGCGGCGGAGCAUGCGGCUUAAUUCGAUGCAACCCGAAGAACCUUACCUGGGUUUGAGAUCAUGGGAAAAGCUGUAGAAAUACAGUGUCCGUAAGGGCCCAUAACAGGUGGUGCAUGGCUGUCGUCAGCUCGUGUCGUGAGAUGUUGGGUUAAGUCCCGCAACGAGCGCAACCCUCGUCCCCAGUUGCCAGCGGUCCGGCCGGGCACUCUGGGGAAACCGCCGGUGAUAAGCCGGAGGAAGGUGGGGAUGACGUCAAGUCCUCAUGGCCCUUACGGGAUGGGCUACACACGUGCUACAAUGGCGGUGACAGUGGGUUAAUCCCCAAAAGCCGUCUCAGUUCGGAUUGUCCUCUGCAACUCGAGGGCAUGAAGUCGGAAUCGCUAGUAAUCGCGUAA
rnacentral:rRNA from 1 species